rnacentral:rRNA from 1 species
GUGAGGAAUAUUGGACAAUGGGCGCAAGCCUGAUCCAGCCAUGCCGCGUGCAGGAAGACGCAUCUAUGGUGUGUAAACUGCUUUUGUACGGGAAGAAACACUCCCUCGUGAGGGAGCUUGACGGUACCGUAAGAAUAAGGAUCGGCUAACUCCGUGCCAGCAGCCGCGGUAAUACGGAGGAUCCAAGCGUUAUCCGGAAUCAUUGGGUUUAAAGGGUCCGGAGGCGGUUUAAUAAGUCAGUGGUGAAAGCCCAUCGCUCAACGAUGGAACGGCCAUUGAUACUGUUAGACUUGAAUUACAAGGAAGUAACUAGAAUAUGUAGUGUAGCGGUGAAAUGCUUAGAUAUUACAUGGAAUACCAAUUGCGAAGGCAGGUUACUACUUGUGGAUUGACGCUGAUGGACGAAAGCGUGGGGAGCGAACAGGAUUAGAAACCCCGGUAGUCC